AUAUAUAUAUAUAUAUAUCAUAUACCUAUAUGUGAAACCCUUUUCUGAAAUAUUAACGAGUCCACGUCUAUGAGAAGUUCCCCACCGACCGCUCUCAUGCCUCCGUCACGUGUAGCUAAGCUGUCUCUUUGUGUGCUUAAACUCAUUUCCGCCCAAAAUAGCAUUGACGACACACUGGGAUUGAAGAAACGGCGUCGUUUGGCUGCUAAUGAAUGAUGCCUUGGUGCUUGCUUCCGGUCAGCCUGACAUCACCAUGAGGAAGAAGACUUGGUGGUGGGUUUUCCUUAUUGGCGGUGGUGUUUCUUCCGAUGUUGCUUGCCACUGUUGGACCCCUUUAAUUGACACCUCUCCUUCUUUGCAAUGACUCUCUCAAAAUAAGGUAAUACCGACCUAACUUCAGUAUUAAAGGAGUGCAGUUCAUUUGCGUAGUAGAUUCUUCUUGGCACUCUUGGAUUCCCAUUAAACACCACUUCCCCUUCAUUGUGGUCGACUCAGCCUCUUGACUUUCUCUUCAUGCCGACUCCAUGGUUGUUCUGUAUUUAAGGUUAUAAUUUCACAUGUUUGUUGUUAUUUUUUAGGGUUACUCGGUAGGUAUAUUUUGAUAAGGUUUAUGCGUAUUUUUCUAUUUUCUUGAAAUUACAGCCACUUCCUUUGAUUGCUCACCGCUCCAAACAUCUUCAUAUAUUUUGAUUAGUUUUUCGUUUUGUCUGCAGAUGAGCUUCAAUUUAAUCGUUUCCUUACUCCUCAAGGAUCUGUCCUUUCUUCAUUCUUUCUUCAUGGGUUGAAAGCAAAAGGGGGAUACUGCCUCGUAUGUUACUAAAAAGGUAAAUUUGAACUCCAAAUUAAAACUCUAUUAUAUUUUGUUUGUGUAAAUAAAUGUUAAUCUGGAAUCGAGGUAUAGGGCUUGAACCCUAAUUUCAUUUCUUCCUAUUAUGAGCUCUCUCUUUUGAAAGUUUUUUAAUCUAUCGAUGUUAGUUCUUCUAUUCUCUACACCAUUUUGAAUACGUUUUACAUGAAGAAGUUAUCAUGAGGAAAUUGUUGUUGUAAGAUGUACAAAUCAUGUUAGCAAUCACGUUUUCAAAGUAUUCAUCACUAGGCGGAACUUAAACAUGAGGAAACAGGAUAUUCUAACAAGUAUGUUAAGACCUCAACCUGAUGACGAUGAAUCUAAUUUCAACUCUUGAAUUGAGAUACAUCCACAUGGUGGAGACCGGAGAGGCGUUGGGUUUAAACCUUCCCCCCAGCUCAACACUUCCUACCUACUACCCUUCUCUGUUGAUUUCUUUCUAAUUUGUUCAUUGCAGAACACUUUAUGGGUUUUCAUCAAAUUAGUUUUCAAAGUAUCAUUUGUUACUGAGGUUGAGUUUUUGUUUGAUAGGUUUUGCAGCAGAGUCAACUCAGGGGUUGUGGGUGACAAUCAAUUAUAUGGGUAUUACGCAUCAUCUUUAUAGUGGAAGAUUGGAGCAGGCCGCACUUGACAUGUAAAGCUACUAGAACACUAAUUAAGUCUCACAUCCUUCAUUCUUUCAGUGGAGAAGGUGGGUAAUGUUUAAUGGUCUUCUUUUGGAUUGGCAACCCUAACAGAUUCGAUUGAAGGUGAGGUUGAUUCUGCAUCCUACUUUUUUCUUCUCCAACAUGGAUUAGUUGAAGAUGAGUUUAUUUUUUAAAAGUAGAAGAGAUUGAAGGGUUUUCUAAACUAAUUGAAGACAACUUACAUUUUUUCACAGGUUGAUGUUACAAAGAAUUUGAUUAAAGGUUUCCGAUUUGUGAUUAG
rnacentral:lncRNA from 1 species